CGAACCAACUACAGUGAUUAACAGCGCAGAUGACACUCAAUUCAGGCAAUUUAAAGCAAUUUAAAACAAGACUGAGGCUGCAGGAAUAAUUUAAAAAGUCAUUGCUGAGGUGGUGUAACAAAUAAUAGAUUGUCAUGGAACAAGAAAUAUAAUUUUGGUGAUUCAUCACACGCUUUGAAAGACUUUCUGGUUCCAAACAAAAGGUAGGAAAGAAGCAGUAAUGAUCAGGAUAUUAUAUUUCAUUGACAUUUUGCAGACCCAAGGUAAGAUU
rnacentral:lncRNA from 1 species